rnacentral:rRNA from 1 species
UACGUAGGGUGCAAGCGUUUGUCCGGAUUACUGGGCGUAAAGCGCGCGCAGGCGGCACUCUAAGUACGCUGUGAAAUAUCCCGGCUCAACCGGGAGGGUGCAGUGUAGACUAGGGAGCUAGAGGUCGGUAGAGGGGGUGGAAUUGCUGGUGUAGCGGUGAAAUGCGUAGAGAUCAGCAGGAACACCGGUGGCGAAGGCGGCCUGCUGGGCUAUGGCUGACACUGAGGCGCGACAGCGUGGGGAGCAAACAGG